rnacentral:rRNA from 1 species
CGUAGGGUGCAAGCGUUAAUCGGAAUUACUGGGCGUAAAGCGUGCGCAGGCGGUUAUGCAAGGCAGAUGUGAAAUCCCCGGGCUCAACCUGGGAACUGCAUUUGUGACUGCAUAGCUGGAGUGCGGCAGAGGGGGAUGGAAUUCCGCGUGUAGCAGUGAAAUGCGUAGAUAUGCGGAGGAACACCGAUGGCGAAGGCAAUCCCCUGGGCCUGCACUGACGCUCAUGCACGAAAGCGUGGGGAGCAAACAGGAUUAGAUACCCUGGUAGUCCACGCCCUAAACGAUGUCAACUGGUUGUUGGGAAGGUUCCUUCUCAGUAACGUAGCUAACGCGUGAAGUUGACCGCCUGGGGAGUACGGCCGCAAGGUUG